AGGCAUUAAAGCAAACAACGAAUACGAUAUCUCGGGAUGAUGGAAGCAGGGAAGUGUUGUUGCAUAGUCAAUACUCAUAUACGAAAGUAGGGAACAAGAUCAUAUAUGAUCAAAGGUAGACAACGAAUUGGAGUCUCGGGCAACGAGAAUAAGCUAUGCUUCAACUACACUUAUAGGGGAAGGAAAAGGCCUUUCUUUUCCUAUCAUUCCCGACUUAAGAAGGAAUAUAUAAAGGACGACUCCUUAUCCAUCAUCUUUUAUGAGUGAAAGAGCGAGG
rnacentral:lncRNA from 1 species